GGCGGCGUGCCUAAUACAUGCAAGUCGAGCGGAGCAUGAAUGGAAGCUUGCUUUCAUUCAUACUUAGCGGCGGACGGGUGAGUAACACGUAGGCAACCUGCCCUCAAGACUGGGAUAACUACCGGAAACGGUAGCUAAUACCGGAUAAUUUCUUUGUUCUCCUGAAGAGAGAAUGAAAGGCGGAGCAAUCUGCCACUUGGGGAUGGGCCUGCGGCGCAUUAGCUAGUUGGUGGGGUAACGGCUCACCAAGGCGACGAUGCGUAGCCGACCUGAGAGGGUGAACGGCCACACUGGGACUGAGACACGGCCCAGACUCCUACGGGAGGCAGCAGUAGGGAAUCUUCCGCAAUGGGCGAAAGCCUGACGGAGCAACGCCGCGUGAGUGAUGAAGGUUUUCGGAUCGUAAAGCUCUGUUGCCAGGGAAGAACGUCCGGUAGAGUAACUGCUACCGGAGUGACGGUACCUGAGAAGAAAGCCCCGGCUAACUA
rnacentral:rRNA from 1 species